AAUAGCCUAACGGCUGAACCAGCAACUUGGAAGAAUGCAUGGCAAAAGCUAAUCAGUGAUAUCGAUUUACUCGAAUAAAAUUCUGAGUGAAAUUAUGAUAAUGACAUUUUUUUGCUUAUGUGUCUUGACCAAAUUACGUGCCAGCAGUCGCGGUAAUACGUAGAAGACUAGUGUUAUUCAUCUUUAAUAGGUUUAAAGGGUACCUAGACGGUAAAUUAAGCCAUUAGGGACUGAUUUGCUAGAGUUACUUAUAAGGAAGCUUUAAGGUACUACUGAGUGUAGAGAUGAAAUUCUUUGAUACCUUUGUUCGCAAGAUGAAUUAAGGCACGGUUUUAGGCGAAAGCAUCUUCUUAUGUGAUAGCGUCAUAUAACAAAAAGGAUUAGGUACCCAAGUAGUUGACAGCAGACAAUGAUGAGUGUCAUAGGUUAAUUUGAUUUAUAAAUGAUAGUGUAAGCACUCCACCUCAAGAGUAAUUUGGCAACAUUGGAACUGAAAUCAUUAGACCGUUUCUGAAACCAGUAGUGAAGUAUGUUGUUUAAUUUGAUGAUCCGCAAAAAACCUUACCAUUGAAUAUUUACAAGCGUUGCACGGCUGUCUUCAGUUAAUGUCGUGAGAUUUUGGUUAGUUCCAUUAAAUUAACGUAAACCCUUACUUUAUUUUUAAUAUGAAGUAGUUCUCCACUAGAUUGGAUAAGAUAAGAGGGACUAAGACAAGUCAUCAUGGCCAUCAUGUA
rnacentral:rRNA from 1 species